GCAUCUGUGCAUGCAGCAUAUCAAUAAGCGGAGGAAAAGAAACUAACAAGGAUUCCCCUAGUAACGGCGAGUGAAGCGGGAAGAGCUCAAAUUUGAAAUCUUAAAGGGUUUCCCUUUACGAAUUGUAGUUUAAAGAAGUGUUUUCUGUUGAGGUUUUGGUAAAAGUUCUUUGGAAUAGGACAUCAUAGAGGGUGAGAAUCCCGUAUUUGACCUUUACUUUCAACUUUGUGAUACACUUUCAAAGGAGUCGGAUUGUUUGGGAAUGCAGUCCAAAAUGGGUGGUAAAUUUCAUCUAAAGCUAAAUAUUGGCGAGAGACCGAUAGCGAACAAGUACCGUGAGGGAAAGAUGAAAAGAACUUUGAAAAGAGAGUUAAACAGUACGUGAAAUUGUCAAAAGGGAAGCGUUUGACACCAGUGUUGUUUUUCUGAAAAUCAAUUAAAGAACUGUUUAUGCUAAGCUGUUUAGACUUUAUCAGCUAAUCUGUUUAGUUUUGAGCUUUUCUUUAAUGCACUUUUCAGUUAACAAGUCAACAUCAAUUUCUUUUGCUGUAAAAAAGCUUGAGGAAGGUGGCUUGAGAUUCGUCUUAAGUGUUUAUAGCCUCUUGCCUAUGCAGUCGGAGAGAUUGAGGUCUGCAGCGUAGAUCCUUCGGGGCUAAAUGCAUUUGUGCUAAGUUAUAGCAUUUUAUAGACAACUUGUUGACUAUGAUUUGUCUUGUAGCUUACUCGCUUAUGUUAUUUUACCUACGCUUAGGAUGUUGAGUCGUAGAGCACGCAG
rnacentral:rRNA from 1 species